rnacentral:rRNA from 1 species
AACGAACGCUGGCGGCGUGGAUAAGACAUGCAAGUCGAACGGGUCAGACCGAGUAGCAAUAUUUGGAAUGUUCAGUGGCGAACGGGUGCGUAACACGUGGAUAACAUUCCGGAAAGCGGGGAAUAGCCCAGGGAAACUUGGAUUAAUACCGCAUGUGGCCGCAAGGCUAAAGACGGGGACCGCAAGGCCUGUCACUUUCCGAUUGGUCCGCGGCCUAUCAGCUAGUUGGCGGGGUAAUGGCCCACCAAGGCUACGACGGGUAGCUUGUCUUCGAGAACGAACAGCCACACUGGAUCUGAAAGACGGUCCAGACACCUGCGGGUGGCAGCAGUCGAGAAUCUUUCACAAUGGGGGCAACCCUGAUGGGGCGACGCCGCGUGGGGGAUAAGGUCUUCGGAGUGUAAACUCCUGUCAUGCAAGAACAAGGUACUCAGGCUAAUAGCCUGAUUGUUUGAUGGUACCGAAAGAGGAAGAGACGGCUAACUCUGUGCCAGCAGCCGCCGUAAAAC